UUUGAGAAGAGGCGGAAAAGAUGAUUAACAUCAGAAGUCAAUAGAGUGUGGUUCUGUGUGUGUGUGUGAGAGAGUUCCCUUACAAGAGCUUCUGUCUCUUUUCAUCUCCUACCUUCAUUCUAGAACCUACCUCCCUCCAUCAUAGCAUGAUUAAUAUCUGUUUUUGAAUUCUUGCAGUUCUAUGAGUUUUUCUCUCUGUAGCUUCUGAUUAUGAAAAGGAGGGAAAAUCUAAACCAACCUAGUGUAUUUCAUAUCCAAUGUAGAAUGUGUUUGUUCACUUGUGGUUUCCCUCAUUCAUAAAAGCUUUAAAGGCCAGAGCCAAGUGGAUUUCCGCUCCAUAAAAGGAUUGCAUCCAUAACCUUUCUUCCUGCCAUUUCCCCCGCCCUCAACAUUGCCAACAUCACGGAUGUGUGAAGUAUUCAUGACACAAUAAAUGUCUUGUGACCACCAUAUUUGUCAUGACGUAUAAAAGUCCACAAGCAGAAGUUCAAGAGAGCAAGUCAGAUCAUUAGGUAUGCUAAUGAUAAUUUCAGAGAAUUCAGAGAAACCUCUACUCAAGUGAGUAGUUGUGCAAUAGGCCUUGGCCCAAGCACUAAAAGGAAAGGCAAGGCAGACAGAUACUAAUUAGGUGGAAAGAAGAAAUAAGGCAGAGCCCAGAAUUCCAGAAGCAAAAGGAAAGAAGAAACAAGGCAGAGCCCAGAAUUCCAGAAGCAAAAGCACAGGUUGUUUUCUCUGUUUCUGCAGCUCUGUCCAGAGGAAAGACGCUCAGAUGGCCACUUGAGGCCUCUGAGCCUACGUGAUAGCCUAGCCACAGGGUUGGCCUCUAUAGAGGAUGACAUCGUCCUUCAGAAGGCCACCUGUUUCCAGCUCUCUGUCAGCCUUCGGAAUGUAGUUUCCUUCUUUCUGACAAGAGGCUUGCAGGGCUCAGAUCCCAGAACUUCAGGAUCACAUGAACAAUGACAUCAUCACUUUUAGCUGCCUCUUCUGGUCUGUGAGAAAAUUUCAGACUUUGUUUUGAUAACCUUGACAACUGGGAGACCUAUUGGUCAGAGUCAAAGAAGAAAUCAGAAGAGAAAUGGGACAAUAAUCAGAAGUGGUUGAAAAUGGAAACAGCACACCAAAUUUAAGAACACAGCAAAGGCAGAGCUUACAGGCA